AGGGAGAGAGAGCCUACCUUUUUCAUGGUUGUUUGAUCAAUUGGAUUGUAAAGUUCCCAAAUGUAAGAGGACUCCUGUGGUGUUUUACGUGGCUUUUGGCAUUCCAAUGAUCUGAAGUUGUGAUGUUGCAACUGCCUGUAAACACACAGUCCAGUUCAUAGUGAAUGAUGGCAGGCCCGUGUGGCAAAUGGCUUAUUUGUAUAAAGGUGUACUUUAGCUCUGAUUCACAAUAGUGCACCAGUCUGUCCUGGACAAUACAGAUGUUUUUAUUCAGUUUUAUUUACUGCAGUGUCUAUUAAUUGUUCAAAUGCAAAUACCUUGGUAUACGUAAUUACCAAACAUUCUAAGAAUUUAUGAAAAUGUGAAAGACCUUAUCUAAGUGGUCGUUUGUCAGAAUAAUUUUUUUAACGUUUUUGCUUUGUCAUUAUGGCAAAUUGUCGAUUUGACGAGGAAAACAUUAAAUUUAAUCCAUUUAGAAUAAGGCUGUAACGAAACAAAUUGUGGAAAAAGGGAAGUGGUCUGAAUACUUUCCGAAUGCACUGUUUAUGAACAGAUUGUAAUAAGAUGUCAUGUUGCAUUUCAAGUGAAACUCACAGCAAUGUUUCACACACAAGUUAUUUUAAAAGAGAUGGCUAACAACAGCAAGCGCGCUACUGUAACAAAAACACAGUUCCACUCACCAGAUGAUGAUGAUAAUUUGAAACAUAACUUCCUGUUGAAAGUUAUUCUUGAAAGGGAGAAUUUGGCAAAUUAGCAACAACCUCUUUGAUAAAACCAUCUGCAGCCACUGCUAACUACCCGACAACAAAAGCAUGCUAGCUGGACAGUGGGAAAACUACUGCUCGCUAUUGCGCAUUGACCUGUUUGUCUUCAGGAAGGCAGAAGUUUCCAUAAAUUUUUAUAAAAACGUUUACACUCAAUAAGUCAAUGUAAUUGGUUGAUUCAACUGUCACUCCAACAUUUUGCCCUAAUACAGUUGAAUGGCAGAUGCCUUUAUCUAGCUUCUGAUGGCCUAGCCAGUGGCUAGCUAGAUUUAUCUCCUAGCCAAAUCCUGAUUGGAUCUUUUUUCUCUUCAGUGUUAACCCCUUCCUUUCCAACAAACUGAAGAGAUUAAAUCAGAUCAUUGAAAAUAAUAAUAUAAUUAGCAUUAUUAUAAUCACUAUUUUUAUAACUACUUAGCCCUUCUUUGAAGGCGUUGUGUUUUGGGUUAGUAAUAAUUUGUUGAGUGCCUCUAUUUUCCCUUAGCAUGCAUUUUUUCACUAUUCGAGUGUCUGAAGAAUCCAUAUGUUCUGAAAUAUGAACACAGAAAUACUGGAUAUUUUGAACUUUAUUGUGGUGGUGAUUUAACCAAAUUACACUCAUGUUCUUGAAUUGGACUUGCAUUCUUUUGGUCUCUGUCUUGACUUUGUCUCAAACACAACACAAUGCUGUACCGUCUGCCCUUAUGCCUGCAAAGCGAGUAAGUGGACUGCACGCCCUGUCAUUCGUGCCUACAGUUUGCCCUGGGAUUCUCCUAGGUAAUGGCCAUAUACCCUAGUGAGACAUUGAAACAAGUAUUUUAAAUAAAAUGUAGGGUUACUUGCUUAACCCUGGUUUUAUCAGAAUAUGAGUGAUGUCUCACCGCAAUUCCCGGCUCGCAAGAGCAAGGAAGAGGCACGCUUGAGUGGCGCCUUAUAAGGAGGAGAGGGGCUCAACUCAUUCGCUCCUCAACCGGUCUGUCAACAACAGACGUUGUGUGAUUGGUUCUUCGAGCUGUCAGUGAUCUGCUAAACAAAUCCCGUAGUGAGACAUCUCAAUCAUAUUCUCAUAGAACCGGGUUUAUGCAAGUAACCCUACGUUUCUUUAGCUGAGCUUCAUAGCUACAGCUUUAGUGUCUAUAAUGUAGAAGAUACUUUUUUUUUAUUAAAAAAAAGUAUAACAGUUAGGAAAGAUACCGGUGACUACAGCUGCAUUUGUUUUCUUGUUGAGGGGAGGUAUGGUAGAACAUUUUGAGAGUUGAGUCCUUACAUAGACAUAACAAGAGCAUGUAUAUAGGCUGGCUGGGUAGUUUCGUAACAGUAGUCACUUAUUUUUACAGAUUUAUCACAAGUCACUUUUGCACCUUGAACAUCUGUUUCAUAUCUGCUAUUACUGUCAAUAUCGCUCCAUAUUUCCUUUAGAGAGACCUUAUCAUGUUUUUGGAGGGUUUUGUUAGCCAAGUGUAGCCUCACAGCCUACAUGAGGCCUAACUACUGUACCUCACAGUAACAUAAUAUUGUCGCUAUAACUGCCAUACCUGCUUGGUUUGUGUGUGUGUGUAGAGCUACGGAAGGCAGAGGAGAGCAAUAGCGAGGUGACUCAGGAUGGGUCAUGCUCGGACACGGAGCUGGUAGACGAAACCCAUAACAGUGAUGGGGAGGAGAACGGCACACCAGACGAGUGUGAAGAUGAUGACAUGGAGUUAAAAGCUCCCUCCACCGGAGUCAGCACCGAAGGAAAGGGAGGCCACAGCCACAUCCUGGGAGUGGUAUGUGGUGAUUGAUGAGGUGCUGGGGGGCUGCCACUCCAACACACCGGUUAUCAUCUCCUCAUCCUCUCUAGGUGCAGCUGUGGGCUGCUCUCCCUUCCAGAAGGGUCCAGAUGUGGAAGUUGGAGAAGGAAAACAAGCACCUUUCAGAAAUGGACUCCAUCCUGCAAUAAAAGGCA